UGUUCUUCCACCCUACCAUGUGCAUUUAGUCCAGAAGAAUGGCCAGAAAAGGCCUGUCUACUUCAAGAUUGUCUGGGCAAUGGUCAGUAACAUGUCUCAGCCUGUGUGCAUAUCCCAUAUCCUGGACACAAUGUUCACCUUUUGUGAAAGAGCAUGGAAGAGGAAAGAAAUGACAGUGAGAGGAAUUAUGAAUUCCUGAAAGCUGAGAUGGCCGC
rnacentral:lncRNA from 1 species